rnacentral:rRNA from 1 species
AGAGUUUGAUCCUGGCUCAGGACGAACGCUGGCGGCACGCUUAACACAUGCAAGUCGAACGAGAGAAGAGAAGCUUGCUUUUCUGAUCUAGUGGCGGACGGGUGAGUAACACGUGAGCAAUCUGCCUUUCAGAGGGGGAUACCGAUUGGAAACGAUCGUUAAUACCGCAUAACAUAAUUGAACCGCAUGAUUUGAUUAUCAAAAGAUUUAUCGCUGAAAGAUGAGCUCGCGUCUGAUUAGCUAGUUGGUAAGGUAACGGCUUACCAAGGCGACGAUCAGUAGCCGGACUGAGAGGUUGAUCGGCCACAUUGGGACUGAGACACGGCCCAGACUCCUACGGGAGCA